rnacentral:rRNA from 1 species
CCUACGGGGCGCAGCAGUGGGGAAUAUUGCACAAUGGGGGAAACCCUGAUGCAGCGAUGCCGCGUGGAGGAAGAGGGUUUUCGGAUUGUAAACUCCUUUUAUCAGGGACGAUAAUGACGGUACCUGAAGAAAAAGCUCCGGCUAACUACGUGCCAGCAGCCGCGGUAAUACGUAGGGAGCGAGCGUUGUCCGGAAUUACUGGGUGUAAAGGGAGCGUAGGUGGCAUGGUAAGCCAGAAGUGAAAACCCAGGGCUCAACUCUGUGGAUUGCUUUUGGAACUAUCAAGCUAGAGUGCUGGAGGGGUA